rnacentral:tmRNA from 1 species
GGCCUUUUCAUCCCAGGUCCGAACCCCUAUAUAAGGGAUGUCGGGCAACCGACUAUGGUGUUACAGGGCCUAAUGGAAUAAGCGCAGCGGACCCGGGGGCGGUACCCGGCGCCUCCACCAACGACACAACCAUCCUGAUCAGAUGGUGUCAGUGGGGGCGAAUUAGGAUCGACGCGCGUGGUAAAGAUUUUGUCUGCACUCGGCAUGGUACCGCCGUUAUCGGGCCAGAUUAUAGUUGCAAACGACAACAAUGAUCAGGUUGCAGUUGCUGCGUAAGCAGUCUUCUAAGACCGAAUUUAAGUCCUGAGGUCUGAUCACUUCAGGCGGGGCUCGGGGGAGCCUGGCAACAGAAUCCCCCAUU